GGGUUGUGAGGUUAAGCGACUAAGCGUACACGGUGGAUGCCCUGGCAGUCAGAGGCGAUGAAGGACGUGCUAAUCUGCGAAAAGCGUCGGUAAGGUGAUAUGAACCGUUAUAACCGGCGAUGUCCGAAUGGGGAAACCCAGUGCAAUUCGUUGCACUAUCGUUAACUGAAUACAUAGGUUAACGAGGCGAACCGGGGGAACUGAAACAUCUAAGUACCCCGAGGAAAAGAAAUCAACCGAGAUUCCCCCAGUAGCGGCGAGCGAACGGGGAGCAGCCCAGAGUCUGAAUCAGCUUGUGUGUUAGUGGAACGGUCUGGAAAGUCCGACGGUACAGGGUGAUAGUCCCGUACACCAAAAUGCACAGGCUGUGAACUCGAAGAGUAGGGCGGGACACGUGGUAUCCUGUCUGAAUAUGGGGGGACCAUCCUCCAAGGCUAAAUACUCCUGACUGACCGAUAGUGAACCAGUACCGUGAGGGAAAGGCGAAAAGAACCCCGGCGAGGGGAGUGAAAAAGAACCUGAAACCGUGUACGUACAAGCAGUGGGAGCACCUUCGGGUGUGACUGCGUACCUUUUGUAUAAUGGGUCAGCGACUUAUAUUCUGUAGCAAGGUUAACCGUAUAGGGGAGCCGCAGGGAAACCGAGUCUUAACUGGGCGUUAAGUUGCAGGGUAUAGACCCGAAACCCGGUGAUCUAGCCAUGGGCAGGUUGAAGGUUGGGUAACACUAACUGGAGGACCGAACCGACUAAUGUUGAAAAAUUAGCGGAUGACUUGUGGCUGGGGGUGAAAGGCCAAUCAAACCGGGAGAUAGCUGGUUCUCCCCGAAAGCUAUUUAGGUAGCGCCUCGUGAAUUCAUCUUCGGGGGUAGAGCACUGUUUCGGCUAGGGGGUCAUCCCGACUUACCAACCCGAUGCAAACUACGAAUACCGAAGAAUGUUAUCACGGGAGACACACGGCGGGUGCUAACGUCCGUCGUGAAGAGGGAAACAACCCAGACCGCCAGCUAAGGUCCCAAAGUCAUGGUUAAGUGGGAAACGAUGUGGGAAGGCACAGACAGCCAGGAUGUUGGCUUAGAAGCAGCCAUCAUUUAAAGAAAGCGUAAUAGCUCACUGGUCGAGUCGGCCUGCGCGGAAGAUGUAACGGGGCUAAACCAUGCACCGAAGCUGCGGCAGCGACACUAUGUGUUGUUGGGUAGGGGAGCGUUCUGUAAGCCUGCGAAGGUGUGCUGUGAGGCAUGCUGGAGGUAUCAGAAGUGCGAAUGCUGACAUAAGUAACGAUAAAGCGGGUGAAAAGCCCGCUCGCCGGAAGACCAAGGGUUCCUGUCCAACGUUAAUCGGGGCAGGGUGAGUCGACCCCUAAGGCGAGGCCGAAAGGCGUAGUCGAUGGGAAACAGGUUAAUAUUCCUGUACUUGGUGUUACUGCGAAGGGGGGACGGAGAAGGCUAUGUUAGCCGGGCGACGGUUGUCCCGGUUUAAGCAUGUAGGCUGGUUGUCCAGGCAAAUCCGGAUAAUCAAGGCUGAGGUGUGAUGACGAGGCACUACGGUGCUGAAGUAACAAAUGCCCUGCUUCCAGGAAAAGCCUCUAAGCAUCAGGUAACAUCAAAUCGUACCCCAAACCGACACAGGUGGUCAGGUAGAGAAUACCAAGGCGCUUGAGAGAACUCGGGUGAAGGAACUAGGCAAAAUGGUGCCGUAACUUCGGGAGAAGGCACGCUGGUGUGUAGGUGAAGUCCCUGCGGAUGGAGCUGAGACCAGUCGAAGAUACCAGCUGGCUGCAACUGUUUAUUAAAAACACAGCACUGUGCAAACACGAAAGUGGACGUAUACGGUGUGACGCCUGCCCGGUGCCGGAAGGUUAAUUGAUGGGGUUAUCCGUAAGGAGAAGCUCUUGAUCGAAGCCCCGGUAAACGGCGGCCGUAACUAUAACGGUCCUAAGGUAGCGAAAUUCCUUGUCGGGUAAGUUCCGACCUGCACGAAUGGCGUAAUGAUGGCCAGGCUGUCUCCACCCGAGACUCAGUGAAAUUGAACUCGCUGUGAAGAUGCAGUGUACCCGCGGCAAGACGGAAAGACCCCGUGAACCUUUACUAUAGCUUGACACUGAACAUUGAGCCUUGAUGUGUAGGAUAGGUGGGAGGCUUUGAAGCGUGGACGCCAGUCUGCGUGGAGCCAACCUUGAAAUACCACCCUUUAAUGUUUGAUGUUCUAACGUUGGCCCCUUACCGGGGUUGCGGACAGUGUCUGGUGGGUAGUUUGACUGGGGCGGUCUCCUCCCAAAGCGUAACGGAGGAGCACGAAGGUUAGCUAAUCCUGGUCGGACAUCAGGAGGUUAGUGCAAUGGCAUAAGCUAGCUUGACUGCGAGCGUGACGGCGCGAGCAGGUGCGAAAGCAGGUCAUAGUGAUCCGGUGGUUCUGAAUGGAAGGGCCAUCGCUCAACGGAUAAAAGGUACUCCGGGGAUAACAGGCUGAUACCGCCCAAGAGUUCAUAUCGACGGCGGUGUUUGGCACCUCGAUGUCGGCUCAUCACAUCCUGGGGCUGAAGUAGGUCCCAAGGGUAUGGCUGUUCGCCAUUUAAAGUGGUACGCGAGCUGGGUUUAGAACGUCGUGAGACAGUUCGGUCCCUAUCUGCCGUGGGCGCUGGAGAAUUGAGGGGGGCUGCUCCUAGUACGAGAGGACCGGAGUGGACGCAUCACUGGUGUUCGGGUUGUCAUGCCAAUGGCACUGCCCGGUAGCUAAAUGCGGAAGAGAUAAGUGCUGAAAGCAUCUAAGCACGAAACUUGCCCCGAGAUGAGUUCUCCCUGAGACUUUAAGUCUCCUGAAGGAACGUUAAAGACGAUGACGUUGAUAGGCCGGGUGUGUAAGCGCAGCGAUGCGUUGAGCUAACCGGUACUAAUGAACCGUGAGGCUUAACCUUACAACGCCGAAG
rnacentral:rRNA from 2 species